UACGGAGGGGGCUAGCGUUGUUCGGAAUUACUGGGCGUAAAGCGCGCGUAGGCGGAUCUGCAAGUCGGGGGUGAAAUCCCGAGGCUCAACCUCGGAACUGCCUUCGAUACUGCGGGUUUCGAGUCCGGGAGAGGUGAGUGGAAUUCCUAGUGUAGAGGUGAAAUUCGUAGAUAUUAGGAAGAACACCAGUGGCGAAGGCGGCUCACUGGCCCGGUACUGACGCUGAGGCGCGAAAGCGUGGGGAGCAAACAGG
rnacentral:rRNA from 1 species